rnacentral:rRNA from 1 species
AUACGGAGGGUGCAAGCGUUACUCGGAAUUACUGGGCGUAAAGGACGCGUAGGCGGUUUAGAAAGUCAGAUGUGAAAGCCUAUGGCUUAACCAUAGAACUGCAUCUGAAACUCCUAGACUAGAGUGAGGGAGAGGUCAGUGGAAUUAGUGGUGUAGGGGUAAAAUCCGUAGAGAUCACUAGGAAUACUCAUAGCGAAGGCGACUGACUGGAACUUUACUGACGCUGAGGCGUGAAAGCGUGGGGAGCAAACAGGAUUAGAAACCCGGGUAGUCC